rnacentral:rRNA from 1 species
UACGGAGGGAGCUAGCAUUGUUCGGAAUUACUGGGCGUAAAGCGUACGUAGGCGGUUAUUCAAGUCAGAGGUGAAAGCCCGGGGCUCAACCCCGGAACGGCCUUUGAAACUAGAUAGCUAGAGUCUUGGAGAGGUUAGUGGAAUUCCGAGUGUAGAGGUGAAAUUCGUAGAUAUUCGGAAGAACACCAGUGGCGAAGGCGACUAACUGGACAAGUACUGACGCUGAGGUACGAAAGCGUGGGGAGCAAACAGG